rnacentral:rRNA from 1 species
GUCGAGGAUCUUUUGCAAUGCACGAAAGUGUGACAAAGCGACGCUGCGUGGAGGAUGAAGGCCUUCGGGUUGUAAACUCCUGUCGUCCGGGAACAAUGACGGGCGGGCUAAUAACCCGUCCGAGUGAGAGUACCGGAAGAGGAAGCCACGGCAAACUCUGUGCCAGCAGCCGCGGUAAUACAGAGGUGGCGAGCGUUGUUCGGAUUUACUGGGCGUAAAGGGUGCGUAGGCGGUUCCGUGUGUCGAACGUGAAAUCCCACCGCUCAACGGUGGAAUGGCAUUCGAAACUACGGGGCUAGGGUGCAGGCAGGGAGAGCGGAAUUCCUGGUGUAGCGGUGAAAUGCGUUGAGAUCAGGAAGAACACCGGUGGCGAAGGCGGCUCUCUGGUAUGUAACCGACGCUGAGGCACGAAAGCUGGGGGAGCAAACAGGAUUAGAUACCCGGGUAGUCC